rnacentral:rRNA from 1 species
GACGAACGCUGGCGGCGUGCUUAACACAUGCAAGUCGAGCGGUGCGGCGAACGGGUGAGUAACGCGUGAGUAACUGCCCCCCUCCCUGGGAUAACAGUUGGCAACGGCUGCUAAUACCGGAUAGUGGGGGAUGACUCGCGUCCUAUCAGCUUGUUGGUGGGGUAGUGGCCUACCAAGGCGACGCCGGGUAGCCGGCCUGAGAGGGCGACCAGCCACAUUGGGCUGAGAUACGGCCCAGACUCCUACGGGGGGCAGCGGUGGGGAAUAUUGCGCAGUGGGGGAAACCCUGAGGCAGCAACGCCGCGUGCGGAAAGACGGCCUUCGGGUUAUAAACCGCUUUCAGCCAUGACGCGGUAGUGGCAGAAGAAGCACCGGCUAACUACGUGCCAGCAGCCGCGGUAAUAC